rnacentral:pre_miRNA from 14 species
UUCUUGGGGUUUCCAUUGAAAGAUCCCACGCAGAGAGACCCUUACUCAAGUCUUGGGAAAUCGCGGACCCCAGACACAGAGAGACCA